CGCUCUUUGAUUAUUUUAUAUAAAGAGUCGAGCCUGCCCAGUGAUUUUAUUUAACGGCCGCGGUACUCUGACCGUGCAAAGGUAGCAUAAUCAUUUGCCUUAUAAUUGAAGGCUAGAAUGAAUGGUUUGACAAGAAUAGUACUGUCUCCAUAUAAAUUUUAUAAAAUUUGGUUUUUAGGUGAAGAAACCUAAAUGGUAUUGAAAGACAAGAAGACCCUAUCGAGCUUAAAAUAAUUUAUUUGAAAUUUGUUAAUAUCAGCUUCAGGUAAAAAUUUUGGUUGGGGCGACUAAGGAAUAUAAAAAGCUUCCUAUAAAAUUUAGAAACUUUUAUGUUUUGAUCCAAAAAUUUUGAUUAACAGAAUUAGUUACCGUAGGGAUAACAGCAUAAUCUUUUUUGAGAGUUCUUAUCGAAAAAAAGGUUUGUGACCUCGAUGUUGGACUAGGAUAUCCAGAAAGGUGCAGAAGCCUUCAAUGGUUGGUCUGUUCGACCAUUAAUAUCCUACA
rnacentral:rRNA from 1 species